GUGAGGAAUAUUGCGCAAUGGAGGCAACUCUGACGCAGCCAUGCCGCGUGCAGGAAGAAGGCGCUACGCGUUGUAAACUGCUUUUAACCGGGAAGAAACCCCAGGACGUGUCCUGGGUUGACGGUACCGGAGGAAUAAGCACCGGCUAACUUCGUGCCAGCAGCCGCGGUAAUACGAAGGGUGCAAGCGUUAUCCGGAUUCAUUGGGUUUAAAGGGUGCGUAGGCGGAGCGUUAAGUCAGUGGUGAAACCCUGCAGCUUAACUGUAGACUUGCCAUUGAUACUGGCGCUCUUGAGUGCGCUUGAAGUGGGCGGAAUGUGCCGUGUAGCGGUGAAAUGCUUAGAUAUGGCACAGAACACCAAUUGCGAAGGCAGCUCACUAAGGCGAUACUGACGCUGAGGCACGAAAGCGUGGGGAUCGAACAGGAUUAGAUACCCUAGUAGUCC
rnacentral:rRNA from 1 species